rnacentral:misc_RNA from 1 species
AACCUAGCACACCUGCGGUGUGUACCUGCGGAAGGAUCAUUACCGAGUUAUACAACUCAUCAACCCUGUGAACAUACCUAUAACGUUGCCUCGGCGGGAACAGACGGCCCCGUAACACGGGCCGCCCCCGCCAGAGGACCCCCUAACUCUGUUUCUAUAAUGUUUCUUCUGAGUAAACAAGCAAAUAAAUUAAAACUUUCAACAACGGAUCU